ensembl:lncRNA
GUGAGUGCUUUUUGUGAAGCAGACUAGGGUGAGGUUUCCACUUCUUUAUGUUGAGUUAUUGGGCAUAAGAAACCUUCUCCUGGUCCCCUGUCCAGUCCAGGAAUACUUCAUGGUGAAAUGAAAGAAAAAGGAUGCACUGUCCCUGUGUGAAGCCAGGAGGAGAACAAAAGACCGGGUAAACUUGCAUGAGAGGGUAAACACAUUCAAAAGUUUUAGAGACAUAAUCCCCUAUCAUCCCUGGAUGAUUUCUGUGACUACCUACGCACCCUAGCUGGGCUUGUGAAGUCACUCAGUCGUGUCCGACUCUUUGCGACCCCACGGACAGUAGCCUGCACCAGGCUCCUCCGUCCAUGGGAUUUUCUAAGCAAGAGUACUGGAGUGGGUUGCCAUUUCCUUCUCCAGGGAAUCUUCCUGACCUAGGGAUCGAACCCAGGUCUCCCGCACUGUAGACAGACGCUUUACCAUCUGAGCCACCAGGGCAUGUUAAUCAUAGUCUUUGAAGAAAACGAUCCUGCAUUAUGUAAGUGGACCUCAUUCUAUGAGUUGAAAGCCUAAAUACAAAAGAAGCCCCUGGAGUUGAAGAGGUUUAAAAAAAAGUUAAGAGGUUUUUAAAAAAACAAAACCCAUGGACUAUACAUUCCACGGAAUUCUCCAGGCCAGAUAGAAUACUGGAGUAGGUAGACUUUCCCUUCUCCAGGGGAUAUUCCCAACCCAGGGAUUGAACCUAGGUCUCCUGCUUUGCAGGAGGAUUCUUUACCAGCUGAGCUUUGAGGGAAGCCCAAAGGUUGGCCUGCUGCAUUGGCCAGGAAUCGAACCUGGGUCAGCUGCUUGAAGGCAGCUAUGCUCACCACUAUAUCACCAAUGCUGAAGAAAACAUGAUCCUACAUCAUAAGGAAAUGCCAUUGCACACCACCUGCUGACAAAGGAGGAUCUUCUAUACAAAGAAGGGGUUUGACAGGUGUUUCAGGAAGUGGAGAGCUAUACCUGGAGCUGGCAAGUCACGGUGGAUUCCAGGUAUUGUCCCAGCCUGGGCUGAAUCCAUCAUGAAAGGGCUAGGGCUGGAGUCUCUUCAGCCCACUUGGCUUUAUCCUCACAGGUCAGGUGUGCUUGGAAUUUCAGGUUAAGUGAAAUAGCUCCAAUGGAUGUGAAGAGCCUGAUAUGCCAACCCGGGCUCCCUCUAGAGUUACAGACAGGGGAUGCCCAAGAGUGACUUUCUCAGGGCAGAGAGAGGGGCCAUUUAUAGGAAAAAAAAAAAAAAGUACUCCUACAAUCCUUCCUCAGCAGCUGCUGCAAGUGCAGGGUCCUGGGAUGCGGCAGAUUUGCCAGAACCCCUGAUGGGAAGGUUGCCCCUGAGGGUAAUGGUAGAGCGGUGGUGGUUUAAUUAAGAAGGUGUCAACAUCAACAACAGAAGAUCUUCUCUUGCUUAUAGAUUAUUUUCAAACAAGAAAGAUGUCUUAAACAGAGUGAAAAAGUCAAAAA